CCGAGUUUACAACUCCCAAACCACCCUGUGGAACAUACCUAUAUGUUGCCUCGGCGGAUCAGCUUCCGCGCCCCGUAAAACGGGACGGCCCGCCGCAGGAUCCACAAACUCUGUUUUUAUUGUAACUUCUGAGUAACAAAACAAAUAAAUCA
rnacentral:misc_RNA from 1 species